UAUAAACAUUAACGAUUCAACUUAGUAAAAUAUCCAUACACUCUGUCAAGGUCAUUUCAAUGACUUACAUAAUUUACAAAAGAUGAAUAACAACAACAAUCUAAUAUUAUCUCAAUCUAUAAUUUCAAUGAUCUAAUAUCUCCUAGAAUAUUGAAUUUGAGAAUUCACCAUUAAAAACUGAUCUUCCUCAUUACUUCCUGUUUUUAUUUUUUAUCUGACAAGGUGUGUAUGUAUGUUGGGCCAAUUAGUCUUAAAAUCAAUCAUGUUAUCAAUUAAUUUAUUAGUUGAUUAGUACAAACAUCUAAGGUACAUUUCCUUAAAAAAUUUUUAAAAAUUUUUAAUUUUUCUUUCAAAAAUGUUAAAAUUAUUCAGAAUUUAAUGUCAGAUGUCAUACGUCAACGCAGAACAGAUAAAAGCAGAUUUAAAUAUCCGACUUUGUCAGUCAGCUGUUUCUACUAGGCCAACAAUGGAUGGGUGAUACCUAUACCAUGAAAAAAUUCUUUUUGUGUUUGUGUAACGUGUAAUGUGGCCGUUUUUCUGUUUUUGCUGUUUGGGGUUGUACGGAGGAUAUCCAACCAAAAGUUAUUUUCACAAGAUGCAAAUGUUAACACCUCAAUUUUGUAGCGGUACUUUUUUAACAAUUGACCAUUAGCUCCGAUGAUGACAUUUAUGUCGAAAGCGCUCAGCUAAAGAAAUAAAUUAUUUACACACUUUGA